GACGAACGCUGGCGGCGCGCCUAACACAUGCAAGUCGAACGAGCGAGAGAGAGCUUGCUUUCUCAAGCGAGUGGCGAACGGGUGAGUAACGCGUGAGGAACCUGCCUCAAAGAGGGGGACAACGGUUGGAAACGACUGCUAAUACCGCAUAAGCCCACGACCCGGCAUCGGGUAGAGGGAAAAGGAGCAAUCCGCUUUGAGAUGGCCUCGCGUCCGAUUAGCUAGUUGGUGAGGUAACGGCCCACCAAGGCGACGAUCGGUAGCCGGACUGAGAGGUUGAACGGCCACAUUGGGACUGAGACACGGCCCAGACUCCUACGGGAGGCAGCAGUGGGGAAUAUUGCACAAUGGGGGAAACCCUGAUGCAGCGACGCCGCGUGGAGGAAGAAGGUCUUCGGAUUGUAAACUCCUGUUGUUGAGGAAGAUAAUGACGGUACUCAACAAGGAAGUGACGGCUAACUACGUG
rnacentral:rRNA from 1 species